rnacentral:lncRNA from 1 species
GGUGUCUUUAGUUACUUCCUUCUGGUUCCUCCUUUUAAAUUCACUUUUCACAAUCAGCCUUAAACAUUAUACCUUCAUUUGAAUUCUCAGCUGCUGAAUCACGAUCAGCUGAAGAUCCAGUAGCCCUGCACUACUGGAUAUAACUCAAGAGGUUAUGCUGUUUUUACUGUUUGGCACAUACUCAGGAAUGGCAACUUAGCUUAGCAGUUGGAGCAUAUGGCAGGGGGAGAUAGGCCAGCAUCUUGGAUGAAGAUGCAUAUAUUUUGUACUCUCAUGGUAUGAUGCAUUCUUGUGCUUUGCAGAUGGCACCUCAGAAUUGUGGCUGUGAAAACUAAUUUUGCCCAGCCACGCAGGUCUGCUGACACAAGCACUAGGAUCAUCUGUUUCUGCAGACACUACUGCACACUGCAGAUAUCCUAGGCAGGAAUUUUUCUGAGAAGAACACCUGCAUCUCAGUUGCUGUGGUAAGCAGAAAAAAAAAAAAAAAAGCUCAGGAACCUAUAACUAGCCUUUGUAUCUAGAGAGAACAAUUCAGCCAGACACGAUUGCUACCCUCAUGUAACUAUUGGUCGCUGUUUCUCCUGAAAGUUUAUUACAUCGUGGUAGUCAGGGCAAGAGUAAUGGGAAUACAUUGAUGUUAUGGCAGCUGGAAAGAGGGAUUUAUUCUAAUUGACAGAAAUCUAACAUUGCCUUUGAUUUGCCAGCAGCUUCCCUGCGUAUAGACCAGCCAUCAGUCCUCAGAGAAACCGCUUUUGUACAGCACAGGGACUGUAACACUAAUAGUGCCUCUCUCAAAACUUGCUUGUGUUUUAUGUCUGGCUCUCUGCCUCCACAAAACCAGCAUCUUGUUACAUGUACAAGUGGAUCAAGGGCUCGCUAGACAGGUUUCAGGCAACAGAUUCUGUGCAGCUAACGGAACUGCAAAUUAAGGGAGAACUGCAUAAAUUACAGCUUUAUUUUCCUCUUCUUGAGAAUUAUGUAAGUUGUAUGAAAAGCUCAAAAUAAUUUUAUACAACCACAGUGCUUUCGCACUUGCGUGUCUCUACUGAUUUCUCUUUUCCUUCUUUUCUCUUUCCCCCUUUCUCUUAUUCUCUCUCCUCCAUGCUCUGUCUCUCCAUGACUCAGGCAAGCACACACAUGCACACACUUUUCAGUAAUAAGGGCAUAUUCCAUAGGCAACCCACAGUUUUCACGCUUGAAAGUGUUCCCGUGGCUUCCAGUAUGAUUUUUCUCAGCUUUGAUGUAUAACCACCUACCUCUGCAGGACAAAUUGAUUUCAGUUGAUCUCUUGGGUGCACACUUAGGGCAGGUUUCACUUAGUCAAUCUCAGCCUCCAUCCCACUGUUUGGAUUUACUGUGGAUACUUUGUAAACAGUAGCUACUUUUAAGGAGAAAGGACACAAAUAAAACAAUAAUAGCAGCGCA